CAAGUAGCGAAAGGAUUGUUACAUUCAUCAUGGAUCAGCCGACUAAAAAGAGACAGAGAAGCCCAAUGUCGGAGAGAAAAAAGGGAGACUGACAGUGAGGCCAGACACGAGUAAACGUUGGGCGAGUUUCUCAGGAAUAGCGUGAACUGAAAGAAAAAGAAGACGGAAAAUCGUAUGCCGACUUGCCAUGGCUGUGUUGCUCUUGAAAUUUUACAAGCGUUGGCAAACAGCAUUGUUAUGAGGCUUGAGGCUUGAUGAACCAUGACGGCUCGGCCUGCCUGCCCCGGUACAGCCACCACCCACAUCCGAAUUUGUGCGGGUAUUGUCACGAGGAAAUCCGGAGAACCCUCAAGAUGAUGUUACACAAUAGCCGAAGAACUGUCACUUGCAUUUCUUUUAAUAUCCAAAAUAAAUAUUUUUCUAA